rnacentral:lncRNA from 1 species
CCCUUCUCAAACUGUGAGCUGCUUCUGUUGUGCAUUUUGUCUGGCUUUGAGAAAAGUAACUAGUCCAGAAGAACAAUGCUCCUCUUCUCUCCCUCCAAGGAAAUCUAGGAGUUUCUCUCUUGAAAUAGUAGGGGACCAAAUGAAUGUACUAUGUGUAUUCCACCUUUGUGAUAUUCCACCUUUGAGAUUUCCAAAUCUCUGCUGAACCUGACAUGACAACUUGGUACAGACACGGCAUGUCUGUAUGACUUGUCUUACCUCAUAACAACAUGAGGUAACAUGACAACAGAUAAGGAACAUCCCUGGGAUAAUGAUGAGUCGCUCUGAACAACUUAAAUUCAAGAAGUUUUCACAGAGGAGAUGAUACAUGGCUAGCCACAGGAGGAUGAAUGCACUACAGGUGUUUCCAGGAGAAAGAAGAGCACAAAGAUGCAGAGCUACAGUGUGGUUCCAAUCAGCUGGCUUUUGUUACCCAAACAUGUGAAGAAGCAAAUAGCAUCCUGCUUGCUUUCCAGUCCUAAACCUCAAACUCUGCUGUGAGCAUUUUAUCUCCAGACUUCGAGGGCUUUGAGUUAGCUUAUGAAGGUGGGUUACUGCCGAGGAACCUUCCAAUGGUGCUUCUGAUGGAGAAUCUCCACGUUUCGAA